rnacentral:rRNA from 1 species
ACAGGGAUUGCCCUAGUAACGGCGAGUGAAGCGGCAACAGCUCAAAUUUGAAAUCUGAUCUCUUCGAGGUCCGAGUUGUAAUUUGUAGAGGGCGCUUUGGUGUUGGCUGCGGUCUAAGUUCCUUGGAACAGGACGUCAUAGAGGGUGAGAAUCCCGUCUGUGGUCGCAUGUCUUCACCGUGUAAAGCCCCUUCGACGAGUCGAGUUGUUUGGGAAUGCAGCUCUAAAUGGGAGGUAAAUUUCUUCUAAAGCUAAAUACUGGCCAGAGACCGAUAGCGCACAAGUAGAGUGAUCGAAAGAUGAAAAGCACUUUGGAAAGAGAGUCAAAAAGCACGUGAAAUUGUUGAAAGGGAAGCGCUUGCAGCCAGACUUGCUUGCAGUUGCUCAUCCGGGCGCUCGCCCGGUGCACUCUUCUGUAGGCAGGCCAGCAUCAGUUUGGGCGGUUGGAUAAAGGCCUCUGUCACGUAUCUUCUCCGGAAGACCUUAUAGGGGAGGCGUAAUGCAACCAGCCUGGACUGAGGUCCGCGCAUCUGCUAGGAUGCUGGCGUAAUGGCUGUAAGCGGCCCGUCUUGAAACACGGACCAAGGAGUCUAACAUCUAUGCGAGUGUUUGGGUGUCAAGCCCGAGCGCGCAAUGAAAGUGAACGGAGGUGGGAACCCUCGGGUGCACCAUCGACCGAUCCUGAUGUCUUCGGAUGGAUUUGAGUAAGAGCAUAGCUGUUGGGACCCGAAAGAUGGUGAACUAUGCUUGAAUAGGGUGAAGCCAGAGGAAACUCUGGUGGAGGCUCGCAGCGGUUCUGACGUGCAAAUCGAUCGUCAAAUUUGGGCAUAGGGGCGAAAGACUAAUCGAACUUCUAGCAGC